AAUCACAAUAUUCACUGUUACGUAACAAAGUCCAUAUUUGGUAACUUAUGAACUUUCCUGUGACUCAAUUGGAGCAUGGGAACGCACUUGACUGAGAUCUGUGUCAAAGUUUACUUUCAGAAUUGAUCUCCAGUCUCAAUGCACCUGUCACAGUAAAAAACCCAACGUGAUUACCAAUGAAUAGUAGCUGGGAUAUUAAAAAUGUCACUACGAUUCUGCUCAUUAUUUUGCAUUGUAAAGCCAGACCCUCAGUGUCCCUCCCAGAGACCGCCACGGUGAUGGAGGAGGAGGAAAGGACAUUGAUGUGUGACAUCACGGGAUUCUACCCAGAGAAUCUGGCCGUGACCUGGCUGAUCCAAAAUGGCUCCCGGGUGGCCCGUGGGAGCAUGGGUCGCGGGGCCAUCUCGCGUGAUGUGUGCACUGGAAUGGCUGUGCCCAAUCCAGACGGCACCUACAGUGUGAGCAGUCACAUCACUGUCCAGGCUUCAGCCGUAGGGAGCGGAGGAGCCAUGUACAUCUGUCACAUCGAACAUAGGUCCUACCCUGAUGGAAAAUACAGCAAAAGCAUCUUGUUGACCGUGCAAGAUCCAGGGUUUAAUGCUGUAACACUGAUGGUAGUUACUAGUCUUGUUAGUGUUCUUCUGGUCUUCUCUGUCAUCGGUGGUGCAAUGGUCUUCUACAGGUAUUUUUACACAGUUCCUCCCAGCAUCUCUGACAUCAUCAAACCCACCAUCGUUUAUGCCAUGAAGCCGACCAACUUAAAAUGCACCAUUAAAAGAGUACGACUGAGAGAGCUCAAAGUGAAAUGGUACAAGAUAACAGCCAAUAGGGACUGUAACGCAGCUUCCAAUAGCCAAUCAAAGGCACUGUUGAGCCGCAAUGACCUGAGUGACCAGGCUAACAUCCACUCUGAGAGCAUGCAUCACGUGUCCACCCUGUCCGUCUGUCUGUCAGUCAGUGAGGACCAGGCUAAGUACCUGUGUGUUGUGCUGUACAGAGGCAGGAAGAUCACCAGGGAGACCACUGUGAGUGUAAAAGUGACUCCAUCGUUCUUUCACAUCUCCAGCAUGCCCCAGAUCCCAGAGGUGAAGAGGUUGCUGGUGCUAUGCUGUCGGGUCGAGAAGUUUUACCCGGACGACCUCCAUCUCGAGUGGUCGAGAAAUGAUGGGGAGCAGGUGAGGACAGCCACUAACUAUGGACCGUUCUCUGACCACGAGCGGAUGCACAGCAUGUGGAGUAAGAUCGAACUGACAAUAGCUCCGGAAGACGAGAGUGCGGUCUACACAUGCCGCUUGUAUCACUCCAGUUUCCCCGGGCCAGGAUACAAAGACGUUCUCUAUCAUAUCAACACACAAGGUACUCCUCCAAGCGUGAUGUUCAUCAAGUGUGAGCCACUACUCCCUCUGCUGGAUGAAGAGUGCACGCUCAACCUCUGCAUCAAAGACUUCUGUCCUGAACAAGUGUCUGUCACAUGGUUUAAGGACGGACAGACGGUCCCCAACAGCCAGUUCUUCAACUCCCCACCCAGCCUCAACGUCAACGGCCUCUACUCUAUGUGGAGCUUCCUCAAACUGAGCCCAACCACAGAGGACUACGGCUCAGAGUUCAGGUGCCGGGUGGUCCACAGUGCCCAGAAGGAACCGGAGGAGAGGGUGUUCACACGUCAGAUCUCAUAGUCACCUAGUCAAGGGACGUCAGACCUUUGUUCAAAUACUUUGUUUGCACUUUUGGGACUUUUGUAUUGGCUCCAUUACAACAAAUAACGAACGGCUCAAAUAGUUGAAAUUAUUUCAAGUAGUAUUUGAACCCAGGUCUGGGAUGUAUAUAAGGAUAUUACCGUUAAAGUAUAUAGUA